GACGGAUCAGUCUGUUCAGGUCAGCUGAGAAAGGAAAGAGCUCAGUGUUCAGAGGUUCAGAGAAGUGACAGGACUGGCGAGGACAGAGGGCGGAGACAGGCAGACCCUGGACAUGUUUCUGUGCCCGCUGGCCUUCCUUGGCUUCAUCUAACUAACAAGAAGCCCUCUGCAGAGCCUGCUACGUGGGGCCCGGUGGCACAUGGAAGAGAUGGGCUUUCAGGGGCAGUCAUUUGGCCCACUCAGAUGAGCCCCACUAGCAGGUCUCGAGUGCUGUCCUCUCCACCAAGAUCACAGGAGUCGAUGGUGAGCACCCACUUCCCCAGCCCCAUCUCCUGCCUGUCCUGUAGGGCAACUGUCCAAAGACAGGGCUGUGGACCAUGCCUGGGUGUUCACCCAUCGUACUCCAUCUCAUGUCUACCCGUAGUAGUCAUUACCUGCCCUCAAACAUUCCGCCUGAGGCUGCCAGUUCUUGUAGGAAGUGGCCCCGGUGCCAGGCCAACAGCUUUCCUAGGCUUCAGAACACCGAGAUGAUUUCGGGCCAUCACUGAUCUUCACCCACCAGAGAAGUUUUUCACCAGGGGCUUUUCCUGACGUCAAAGUAACAGCCAGGUUAAGGGAACCCCUGGCCUGGGGGUGUCCCCCUGCCCACCCCCUGCAGCCCACAGCCCACCUGUCCUGCCUGCUGACAGGUCUCCUCCCACUCCUCCCGGCCUUGUUUGCACUGGAAAGUUGGGGUGCAUCGGCUGUGCACCUGAAUGUGUUAUUUGCUUCUGCUUAAAGAUCAUAAAGUCAGUAAAUUGUUUAAAAUAUAACUCAUUUGAGGGUCUAGCUCCUGCAAAGUCUGUUUGUCUUCUUUCAAAGCAUGCCUUAACUCAGCCCCUUCCUUUAUAAAACAGUCCAGCUCCAUAGAAAUUUUAAACAAACUGUCUCUCUCCUCUGGGCUUGGACUCAGCCCCCUCCCGGUCACAGGCCUGCCUGGAAGAAGCAGGUUGGGCCCUCUCAGCCGCUUCUGUUUAUAUCUGGGCCCAUUAUCAUGAAGGGCACUUUUAUUUGAGGAGUUGAGUAUUACAUUAGCAUUAUAAAACAAAUUGUUUUUCCAUUGCUUGAGAGCCAGGGAGAAUAAACCUGGACGGGCCAUGGCCUCCUAUUUAAAUAAACUAACGUCAUCCUGGGUACCAAGGAGCCUGAUUCGCCCCCCUGUUCCCCGCUUGGGCCGAGUUGUCCUCCCGGCCGCCUCUUUGGUCCCCUGGCCUCUGGGGCUCAGUGGGCUGUUCCCAGGGAAGCCUUCACCCUCUCUCCACCAGGGCUGUACAGUGACCCCGAGUCCAAUGGCAGAAAGGAUGGGGCUCAUCACAGGGCCCAGGACCCCAAAGGUUACAAAGCACCCACCCCUCCCCAUCUGACCCUCACCACCCCCAGCCGCACGCUUGGGCCUCCCUCCUCCUGUGCCUCCGGGACCGUCUCCCCACCUGCGGGAGGCCAGGUGUGUGGCUCCAGAGACCCUCCACCUGAACUACCCGCUCCCAGAGCCCCAGUCAGGGCCGCCAGAGGUCGCGGAGGGUGAAGCCAAUGGGCCUGGACGCCGAGGCCGGGGAGAGGAAGGAGCGAGGUAAUGGCUGUGGCUGGAGACCCUCUUCUGACUCCCCAGGCUGCCGGGUAGGCCUACUGUGGGAUGGGACUCAGGCGACCAGACGUGCUCUCCGUCGCCUCCAUCCCGGCCGCUGACUCCGCUGUGUCCCCUUGGAUCCAUCACCACCUCCAGGCAGCCCUCCAGCGGGUUCUGGUGGCGCCGAGAGCUUCGAGGGGACUCAACGCGCUUUGUAGGGCCUGUGAAAUCCGGCUUGUCGCAUAAGCUCCCUGAAGAAGAGAACAAACUUCCCAGACCAGGGGCCCGCGGGGAGCGGUGCAGACACCGCGGCAACCCACCCCGAGCCCGCCGGCCCUCGCUCCGUGCGCCCAAGGGGCGUCCCCCGAGGUGUCGCCUGCAAGGCAGCCGCGUACGUCGUUCUCAGUGCGGGUCCUGGGGGCGGCGGUGCCGGGGGUACGGCCUGGGGUCCCGUCGGUGUCCACUGCCCGCCUGGGCGCUGGGGCCGCAGAUCGGGGCUACACGGCUCGCGCCGACCGAACGCUGCCGCCAGAGCGGUGGAAAAGCGCUGGGCAGGCCGGCCUGGGGCUUUCGAGCUCUGCCGCCGAGCGCAGCAGAAAUACGGUGUGCAGGCAGGACCCGAAACAGGAGAGACCGGGGGGACCGGGGAGGAGAGGAAGGCUGGCUGUGGCAGGAACCCGGGCGCUCGGCACCUCCCCUGGUCCCGGGGGCCCUGAACCCCCGCCGCCGUCGCCGCCGGACCCCGCGAUCGUCCUGAACCCGGGCCGGGCGCUUUCGGUUUCCCGGCGCUCUGCGGCGCUGCUUUGUUCACCCUGCGCGCGCGGUUCCCAGAGUCCAGAGCUGCGGGCCUGAGGCUGAGGGCCAGGGAGCGAGGCGAGCACCCGGGGCCAGCCACGGAGGAGUCCCGACCACCACGGGAGCAGGGGGACUGGGAGGCAAGAGGGUCUCGGUGUGACCAACUAAGCAGACACUCAGCGGCAGCGCCGCGCUUGGGGAGACUGCAGGGCAGAAAUGGGCCUAGAGGUGAAGGAGCCCUUCCCAAAUCGGACAGUCCCGGGGCUGGAGAGCCGGGAGCAACCCAGUUCCCUGAAGAAAUGAUUGCAGCUGCUCAGGCAAAACACGGUCUCCAGCACUGGGAAGGCGACAGCGGCGACAGUGCACCGUCCCCCUUGCACGCACUGAGGAGCCUGUCUUGGAGCUGAGACCUCCUCGCCCCCUCCGAGCUUACUGAGCACCCGGCCGGCAGCCCCCCGACUCCCCAGGAUGCUGCCUUGACCCCACCUAAUCUGGUCACUCACCUCCUAACCUUUCAGGGUCCAAGAGGACCCGCGUCCUGCCCCACCUUGCUGGGUGCAGAGCCGGGUGCACGCGGGACCCGCACUCGCUCUGGGCGAACACGCAGCGCCCUUCCCGGCCUCAGGCCGAGCCGGACCGCAACGCCGCUAUUAGUAAGGACUAAAAACAAAAGUUCUCCCCGAAGCCCACCUUUCCCCAGUAAGAAGGUGUCAAGGGUUAAACCGUUCGAUUUGCCCUUUUUCUUGAUCUUAGAGGGAAGAGGCAAGAACUCCUGGCACCUUUAUGGGCCUCAGACCUGUGGCUGCUGCCAGCAGUCUCAGUCCCACUAACUUUGAUCAGCCUUAUUAAUUCCAGCUGUGCUCUAUUUGUUUGUCAUUUUCCCCUUUUCCUCUGGAAUCAUUAUUUAUAGCAGGAAAAAAAAAAGCCCACUGUUAGAAUGGAGGCAAGGAGGGAAUUUCUGAGAACGACUGGGUGAAUGUAUUUUUCCUUAAAGGUCACCAAAAAGGAGGAGAGGUGUAGGGGUGAGUCUUGACUCUUAUGAGCUCUUCUUUGAAUUUAUUACUCAAGAGCAUUAACUAAUUACCAGAUCAGAUAAAUGAAAAAAAAAUUCCCUAAAAUAACCCAAGGUAAUUAUAACCGUGCUGUUGACACUAACGAUUAAUAAUUGAUCAGGAGUCACACACAAUAAAUUGUCAAUUUAUCUCCCCACAAAAAUGCGAGUGCUUGUGUAGCAUUGUGUUUUGUUUCUUCCCUCUGGGUAUUUUCUGUGAAUAUCGAGUCCGUAUUGGAGGCAGCCCCAAACCUCAUAGUCAAUUCUUUAAGAAUAUUACAUUUCAUUUAUUUACAGCUCCAUAUAGAACAAAGUAACAUUAGAACACCUUUUAAAAAUACUUUUAUUAUCAUGGGGCCAGAGUUAAACAAACAAAAAAAAUUCUUCCUCUUUCCUUUUAUCUGGGAUUGCGCAAAUACGGACAACAGAUAUUUCCUUUCUUCAUUGUAUUAGCAAUACAGUCCUCUUAAAUUGUGUCUUCAAUUAUUAUCUUUCUUAGAAAGAGAGAGAACACUCUGCCUUCACGGUAGGAAACACAAGACUAUUCUCUGUUCCAAGGGUGGAGGGGACAGAGGUGCCGGUUGAGGCCACAUCCAUCUGUUUCUAGGGAUGCAGCUGAAGGGAGAGGCUGAUGCAUACAAGUGGGGUGUCUGCUUCCUAAAACUGGGGCUCAAAGUGUUUUCUCUUCCACCCAUCAAUGGCUGAGGUCCAAGUGCAUAUUGUUGAAAACCAGAUUCGUAGCAUUCUAGCCCAAGCAAAGGGGAGGGCUAGUGAGUGCUUUCAUUAUGGCCAAUAGAUAGUAAUUUUCAGCAACUGGAAAAUUAUAUUGUCAUAGAUUACUUCUCCUUAUAAUUAGCCUUUAAAAUAUCUGUAGGGAUUUGUCACUUGCAUAAAGGUUUGAAAAUACAUCAAAGGGACAUGUCCCCCUUGCGAUUUGUAGAAAUUCAAAUGAUGUUAAUCAUAAUAUCCACAUAGCACAGACGGUUGUGUAUUGUUCCCAAGAUAGCCUCUUCGGUUAACGCUUUCAAAAAAAUAGUUAAAAUGUUAUGUUUGUAAAAGCAGUUUAAAACAUAUUUAUUAUAUCUAUUUAUAUUUUAAUUUUGAGUCUAAAUGAAUGUUUUCCUUGGGAUUCUCAAGGUACUGGGCAACUAAAGAAAAAUUAUAUAGUGAUAAUUAUUGUAUAUUGUUACUUGGAUGAAACUUUCUCAUAAUUCACUUCAGAGUGUUAUUGAAAUUUGAAAAUGCCUCUGAGUGGACCACAAAUUUGUUUGGAACAAUUUUUUUUUCCAAAUUGAUGUCUGUUUAAUUAGGCUGUAACAGUGGUAGUUUAGUAUGUACAUUCACUCCGUAGUUAAAAAACAAAGGGUCCACUUUACUUUUAGCCUCCUUGAUAUGUACUUAAAUGCAAUUGUAAAUGAUCCGAAAACGCGCACGGGCUUCGGAGGUGGCUAUUUCAUCUUUGUGUUUCUUCGCAGUGGUUCUCGCCUCCCAGAAUCCGCAGAGAUCUAAUAAACACAUAAGUUAAAGAGAGCCUCAGGGGAACCCCGAGCCCUCUCCCACCACUCUCCCAACUCCAGAAUGAGAUCCGCGGCGGCCCGGCGAGGGGGUUCUGGGGAGGCGCACCCCAGGCUGGCUACCCUGAGCCCAGGCCCAAGGCUGCCCCUCUAGGCCCCAGCACCCAGCCCCCUUCCUCUCUCCGCUCCCCGCCCCUCCUUCCUCGCAUCAGACAAAGGUGGAUGAAGUUCUUUUCAAGUUUCAAAGGCAGUUGCUGGGCAGCUUUGCAGAAACAAUAACUCUUUUAUUGGGAACAAAUGUUGACAUUUGACGGGCGCGGGAGGCAGCGCCCGCGCCGGCCGCCGGGCAAGCGCCCCGGUGCUCUCGGCAGCCCCCGGCCCCCGGGGCCCACCUGAGAUUAAAGCGCGAAUUCCGAUAAAUCAGCUCUAAGGAAACCCUGGGCCGCGGAGAGCAGAAGGGCUGUCGCGGAUCCACCACGCGGGCGCCGGGCCGCGGAGCCGGGAGCGCGCCCAGGCCUGCACCCGCAGCAAAGCCAAGGCCACCGCCCCAAAGCCCAUCUGCUCCUGGUCGCCCCGUUUUGCCGACGUCUCCCCGGCCUCAGUCAACAACAGCAAACUUCUAUCUUGGAGGGCUAGCAAUUGUGACACCUACCUGUGGACCAAGGAAAAAACCAAAUCAUCCCCAAUCUUUCAGUUCCACAACAA
rnacentral:lncRNA from 1 species